rnacentral:tRNA from 1 species
GGUCCGGUAGCUCAAUGGUAGAGCAGUUCCCUCUUAAGGAAUUGGUUGAGGGUUCGAGUCCCCCCCGGAUCA